CAUCUGCGCUAAAAUAUCAAGGUGAAAGUCAUCAUAGCUUGCGUAGUAGGCCUACAUCUGCAGCCUGUUUUCCUGGUCUACUGUGAAGAUCCUGUUAUUUGGCUGUGAGCAUCCUGGUGGUCCAGCCUGCAGCCUAUGGACUCUGCCCCCCUCCCGCCGUGUCUAAAUUAGACUUUUGCACCUGCCUUCGGUUUGUGAUCUCUGGAUCCAAUCCUCGCUAUCUUGCCUGCCCAUCAGCCCCCACCUCUCGGACCUCAGCUCAAGUUCUGUGCCUGCCUGCCGCUCUCCCCAACCAUGCUUACCAUCCACCUUUUGUUCACACCAAUAAACAUCCUGAACUGC